UUAACAGUGAAGACUUUCAGUCAAGUGCACUGGACCUCUAUUUAAGAAGAGCUGGUACUCCAGUUUCCUUGAAGAACUUUGUAGUCCUGAGACCAAGUUUCUUUGUGGAAGAAAUAGUAAACUUCUCUGAGCCAUCUCAGCCUUCCUUUGUAUCACUAACAUUUCCAGCACAGAAUUUGUUUCAGAAAUACUUGAAGAAGUACAAGGCAGACCUCGUUUCAGGCAGCACCAUAUUUCUUAUCCACAAGGCUGGCCAUGAAAAAAGUGUGAAUUGGAGUUGCAUAACAGGCUUUUGGUUUGCAAAGUUCACAUAAAUAUUUUCUCAAAACAAGUUGUUGCAUCUGAGAGGAAAAAAAAUGAAUUGGACACAAAUAUUGAAAAUAAGGCAGACUUUAGACAUCAUUUCUUAUAGAGGGGACAAGCUUUCAGCUCCAGGAUUAUAUGGCCACAAUGAUCUCUCUCUGGACUCCCUCUCCAGGGAUUUGGCGAGGUGCAACUGUCACAGGUUACAGAUGCUGUCUUCCAAAAAUGAAUUCUCCUGCUAUCAUCUCAUGUUAUGUAAGAGCUCCAAAC